rnacentral:rRNA from 1 species
AAUAGAUACCCGGGUAGUCCUAGCCGUAAACGAUGAGCACUGGGUUGAAGGGUCCUCCAUAGCCUUUCAGCCGCAGCGAAAGUGUUAAGUGCUCCGCCUGGGGAGUAUGGUCGCAAGGCUGAAACUCAAAGAAAUUGACGGGGGCUCACACAAGCGGUGGAGGAUGUGGCUUAAUUCGAGGCUACGCGAAGAACCUUAUCCUAGUCUUGACAUGCACGGAUUAACUCCCUGAAAGGGGAGCCAGGCCUUCGGGUACAACGUGCACAGGUGCUGCAUGGCUGUCGUCAGCUCGUGCUGUGAAGUGUCGGGUUAAGUCCCUUAACGAGCGAAACCCUUGUCGCUAGUUGCCAGCGAGUAAUGUCGGGGACUCUAGCGAGACCGCCGGCGUUAAGCCGGAGGAAGGCGGGGAUGACGUCAAGUCCUCAUGGCCUUUAUGACUAGGGCUGCACACGUCCUACAAUGGCGCGCACAAAGGGAUGCAAAAUCGCGAGAUCAAGCAAAUCCCAAAAAACGCGCCCCAGUUCGGAUUGC